rnacentral:rRNA from 1 species
UACGUAGGGUGCAAGCGUUGUCCGGAAUUAUUGGGCGUAAAGAGCUCGUAGGCGGUCUGUCGCGUCGGCUGUGAAAUCCCGGAGCUCAACUCCGGGUCUGCAGUCGAUACGGGCAAACUGGAGUACUGCAGGGGAGACUGGAAUUCCUGGUGUAGCGGUGAAAUGCGCAGAUAUCAGGAGGAACACCUGUGGCGAAAGCGGCUCACUGGACCAUAACUGACGCUGAUGCACGAAAGCUAGGGGAGCAAACAGG